CUCUAUUUUCUAUUUAUAGUGAGAUAAUAAAUUUAUGUGUUGACGUUAGGUCUUCCUCCAUGUCGGAUGAAUUUACUAUGAACUCACUGGAUUUAGUUACUAGUUAUUGAUAACUUGUAUUAGCUCUCUAUCUGAGUUUAAGGGUUGAACCAAUUUUGUAACUAAAAUAAAAUCAUGAUUAAGUGGUGACAGAAAUAUAUUUCUAUGAUCUUCUACUAUUAAUUUCAAGUGUGUAAUAAAGACUUUAGGUCUUCUUUCAUAUCGGAUAAAUUUAUUGUAAGCUCACUAGGUGGAAUACUAGUAAUUGAUAUCGUGUACUUACUCUCCAUCUGAGUAUACAUGUUGGAUAAAUGGAACUAGAGUUAUUAAAAAUGAUGUUCACUUGACUUAAAUUAACAGUAUACUCUCCAUUUGAGUUAGGUAUGUCUUAAUUAUUGGAGUGAAUAAUCUGGCAUUACAUAUGUAUGUUGCAUGAGUAGUUCUUUUUCCAUCGAAAUUGCUAUUCAAGAUGCAUGGCAUAUAUGUGCAGUGUGUUUAAAAUUUUUGUAUUAAAAAGUUAUAUAUAAUUGACUGAAAAUAAUAGUAUACUCUCCAUCUGAGUUGGCACUAUUUAUUAUUGAAUUGUAUAAUUCUUGCAUUAUGUAAUAUACUUUGCAUGAAUGAUUUUUUUCCCAUUGAAAUUUGUUAUUCGAGAUGCAUGUAUGUACAUAAAUAUUGAAUGCAAUCUGAAUUUUAGUAUUCAGUGUUUGACUUAUUAUGAUCUAUUUAAUGCUUUUAUCUCAACUCCAUAAUGAAUUUAUGCAAUUUGUCGUAGUACUUGUUAAAAUUUUCUUUUAGUGAAAAGAUAUUAAUUUAAAAGAUGAAAUAUAUAUACUUUUUGUUAGAAAAAAUUUAAUUCCAGUUUCUGGACAAAAUAAGAGAUGAAUAUUUAUUUUAUUUUUCGAAUAACUCUUGAGUUAUUGAGCUUGAUAAAUAUUUUCUCUUAUGGUACAUGAAUGCAUGACCUUAUUGUUGUAUAUUAAUGUCUCUCCUGAACAGAACAAUAAUAGUCUACCUCAUAAGAGAAUAUGUUCUUCAAAAUUGAGUAAAACUUAUCUAUGCACUUCUGUCUAAGCCAUAUUAAUCUGGAUAGGAUUUCAAAUUGGUCAAAGAUGGACCUUAAGGUCCAUUAAAAAUAGAGUCCUAAGUCAUAUUAAUUAAGAUAGGAUUUCAAGUUGGUCAAGGAUGGACCUUAACGUUCAUUGAAAGUAGAGGCACUGCCAACCUUUUUUUUUGGUAAUUAAGGAUUUCAUUAAUCACCAAUGAAAUAACAUUACAAAAUCAUAGUUUAGCUUUAAACUCAUCUGACUAUCUAUACUAUAACAAUUUAACUGUAUCUAAUGUCCUAACUACCUACCAAUACUAUAUUUGAAGAUGUUGUAAGUGGUUUCUAAUUCGUGGGGUACCUCUAACAUUACAANNNNNNNNNNNNNNNNNNNNNNNNNNNNNNNNNNNNNNNNNNNNNNNNNNNNNNNNNNNNNNNNNNNNNNNNNNNNNNNNNNNNNNNNNNNNNNNNNNNNNNNNNNNNNNNNNNNNNNNGGGCUUCAUUGCAACGAAAUGUCUUGUUGAAGAUUCUUGAGUUCCUUUCCAGCCAGAUAAUAUAUGCAAACUCAGCAACUACCAUUUUGAAGAUGGCGGCUCAACAUGUUCGACCCUUGGCUUUACUUAUGAUCCACUGCAUUUUUUGGUUCCAGGCAUUAAGGUGAGGAUAAGUCUCCUUCAGCCAGUGCAUUGUUUUCUCCCAUAAUUCAAUAGUGACUGGGCAGAAUAGUAGCAAGUGAUAUCUGGUCUCUGGAUGGUUUUGGCAUAAGUUACAUUGCUGAUCAACACUCAUUCCCCAUCUGUGCAAUCUGUCUUUUGUUGGAAGACUAUCUUGUAAGAACAACCGUAGAUUGAAGGUUGCCUUUGACCUUGCAUAGUUUUGUAUGAUCAAAUUCUUGUCUAUCUUUUGUUGGUAAUCUAUCUUGUAAGAACAACCAUAGAAUGAAUGUUGCCUUUGGCCUUGCAUACUUCUGUAUGAUCAAAUUCUUCCAUGGGACUCUCAGCAGGUCUUGAAGCUGUAAAUGGUAUAGUUGUCUAAUUGAGUAGCCCUGCUCCUUCCAGUGUUGAAACCUCUGCAAAACUUCUCUUGAUUGGAUGAUCUUUCUGACCAUCCAGCUUGUUCGUGCAGGAAUUGGCAUGGUUUCAAUAGGUCUGUUUUUGAUGUAGUAUACAGUUAUCCAUCUAAUCCACAGUUUAUCCUUUUUAUAAGCUAGAUCCCAGCAUGUCUUUGCAAUGGCAGCUUUAUUCCAGAGCUUGAGAUUAGUAAGAUUCCUUAUCCACAGUUUGUCCUUUUUAUGAGCUAGAUCCCAGCAUGUCUUUGCAAUGGCAGCUUUAUACCAGAGCCUGAGAUUAGUAAGAUUCAUCCCUCCUGCUGAUUUUGGGGUACACAUUCUGUCCCAAGAGAUAUAUGCUUUCCUAGUGAUAGAGUUCAACCCAUACCAAAUGAAGCUCCUACAAAUGGCUUCUAUCAUCUUCAGGACUUUAACAGGGAAUAUGAACAAUUGUGCCUAGUAAGUUUGGAUACCAAAAAUGACAGAUUGGACCAGUUGGAUUCUCCCAGUAUAAGACAAUGUCUUUGCAGUCCAUGAGGUGAUCUUGGUAGUGAUCCUUUCCACCAGAGGUUGCCAUUGGAGCAAUGUGAUUUUCUUGGUGGACAGGGGGACACCUAGGUACUUGAAUGGUAACUCACCUUGCUCAUAGACAAAGUGGUCGAUAAUCUGUUUCUGAAUAUCCAGUGCAACACCACAAAAGUAAACAGAGCUCUUGUUCAGGUUAGCCUGUAAGCCAGAUGCUUCUGAGAAUUGAGAGAAGCAUCUGGAUAAGGCUAUGACAGAGGUAGUGUCACCUUUGGCAAACAGCNNNNNNNNNNNNNNNNNNNNNNNNNNNNNNNNNNNNNNNNNNNNNNNNNNNNNNNNNNNNNNNNNNNNNNNNNNNNNNNNNNNNNNNNNNNNNNNNNNNNNNNNNNNNNNNNNNNNNNNNNNNNNNNNNNNNNNNNNNNNNNNNNNNNNNNNNNNNNNNNNNNNNNNNNNNNNNNNNNNNNUGUCACCUUUGGCAAACAGCAGCAAAUCAUCAGCAAAACACAUGUGAGUAAUACCUAGUUUUUUACAUCUAGGGUGGAACUGAUAUGCUGGAUUUUCCUUUAGUGAGUUGCAUGAUCUGCUCAAGUACUCCAUCACCAGAGCAAAUAGGAAGGGGAAAUAGGGUCCCCUUGCCUAAGUCCCCUAGCAGCAGCAAAGGGUUCAGUUGCCUCUCCGUUGGCUAGCACAGAGAAGCUCACUGUUGAGAUGCAUUCCAUUAUCCAUUUGGUGAAAGUGCUGGGGAAGCAAUCUGUUCCAUAACCUGCUGUAAGAAUGUCCAUUCUACUAAGUCAUAAGCUUUCUGGAGAUCGAUUUUAAUCAUGCAUCUGGGAGACACAUGUUGUCUGGUGUAGCUUUUGACUAGUGCAUGUGCCAAAAUGAUGUUGUCUUGGAUCUUUCUGCCUGGGAUGAAUUCAUAGGCUUUCUGGAGGUCAAUUUUAAUCAUGCAUCUGGGUGACACUUGUUUUCUGGUAUAGCUUUUGACUAGUUCGUGUGCCAGAAUGAUAUUGUCUGUUAUCUUUCUGCACGGAAUAAACCCUGCUUGGGCUUCACUGAUAAUUCGUGCCAUCACCUUCUGCAUCCUAUUGGCCAGUAUUUUUGAGAUCAUUUUGUAGAGGACAGAGAAGCAAGCAAUUGGCCUAUACUCUUUGACUGUAGUUGGUUUGGACACUUUAGGAAUUAGGGUAAUAGUGGCAUAGUUGAUGGGUUUGUACAUCUUGGUUGAGGAGAAAAAUUGCUUGAUGCCACUGGUAACCUGCCUGCCAAUGAUUCUCCAGCUCUUUUUGAAAAAAAACAGCAUUGUAACCAUCUAUCCCUGGUGCUUUAUCAUCUCUAGCCUUGAGACUCUCCACAAUUUCCAUAUCAGUUACAUCAGCACAUAGAUCCUUUCUUUGUUGUUGUGUUUUCCUUGGUCCAUUUGUCAUGUACAUUUGAUUCAUAGCUGGCAGGGUGGAUACAGAAGUUCCCAUCAGUGCCUUGUAGAAUCCAAUGAUCUUCUUUUUUAUAUCUUCAGCUGUAGCGAUUUUGGUACCCAUUGCAUUUGUAAGUUCAGUAAUCGGUUGUGUUGGGUUCUCUCCUUCUUAACUGCAGAGAAAUAUUUAGUGUUGGAAUCUCCAAGCUGUAUCCAUUUUGCUCUGGCCUUCUGCAGCAGAACACUUUCCUCAAUCAUUGACCAUUUUUCCAGUUUCAGCACUAGCUCCUUCUCCUUCUACUGCAAGACAUCAGAGUAUGCCUGUGUCAUCUGAGCUUGUAUUGUCCCUCGUUCCUGUCUGCUAAGGUCUAUUCUCUGUGAGAUAGUCUUGAAUUCCUUAAUAUUUAGGUCCUUCAGAGGACUUUUCAGAGCUUUGAGUUUAGACCACAUUGCUUUCAUAGUGCCUGAAUUUCCAGUAUGCAAAACACUUGCCACAAUCUGAUGGAAAUCUUCAUGAUCAGCCCAUAUAUUAAAGAACUUGAAAGGUUUUUUCCCAUUCCAGGAAGAUGAUGUCAAUGUCACUAUCAUGGGAUUAUGAUCUGAUAUUAGAGGAAGGUCAUAUUCAGUUACCACUUGGUUCCACUUGAUCAUCCAUCUCAUAGUUACCAAAUACCCUAUCCGGUCUGCUGCAUACUCUGUCCACUCCAGUCUGCUUAUUUGUCCAGGUGUAGUAUCACCCCUCCAAGGCAAUUCUGACAAUCUAGCUUGUUGAAUACAUUUAUUGAAGUCUUGGGUUUCAGGGAGUCUUACAGGUUUGCAAGACUGCCUAUCUUUGUCACAUAAGAUUUUGUUUUUUCUAAUAUACUCCCGAACUUCUUUUUGCUUGUAUCUUUUAUUUACACCUCUUAUAUUUCAAAAUAACCACUUCAUGUUGAGAAUUUGAUCCCCCUUGCUCCCCUGGGGGGUCUUCUUUACUACCAGAAACUACCUCAAACCUAUUACUGAUAGUGAUGGGGGACAAAGGUGGGAAAUUAGUGAUGUUGAAAACUCGGCUCUGAGGUUGUUUCCCUUUAUCGCUACCUUUGUCAACCAUCUGGCUCUAGACUAUCUUGGUUUCAGUAGGGACUCCCUUUGGUUUAUUAUGGUGCAUUGGUAAUUGUUUCUGUAGUGGCAGCCAUCUGGCUCUGGACUAUCUUGGUUUCAGUAGGGCCUCCCUUUGGUUCAUUAUGCUUCACUGGUUAUUUCUGUGGUGGCACAUUUUGCAUAGGGCCCUUAGUUCUUCAUUCCUGGACUACCUUUGGCUUCCACACUUGUGUGUGCUGUUUUGUGAUUUGCUUUGGCUGCAUUGCACAGUUGUGUCCUAUUGUUUGGCAUUUAUCACAAUAGGAGGGCUUCCACUCAUAAACCACCUCUUGAAGGAACUUUUUCCCAUUCGGAUCCAUAACCCAUAUCUCUGUUGGCAGUUCUUUAGUGACAGUCACCUCUAUGAGCAUUCUGGCGUAGGAAAUCCUUGUCUGUUUUGUUGUACAUUCAUCUGCAAAUAUUGGUUUCCCUAAUACGCUAGCGAUUCUGCAUAGAGAUCUCAUACCCCAGAAAGAAUUCGGAUCCAUAACCCAUAUCUCUGUUGGUAGUUCUUUAGUGACAGUUACCUCUAUGAGCAUUCUGGCGUAGGAAAUCCUUGUCUGUUUUGUUGUACAUUCAUCUGCAAAUAUUGGUUUUCCUAAUACGCUAGCGAUUCUGCUUAGAGAUCUCAUACCCCAGCACAACAUUGGAUGUUUCGGAAACUUUACCCAUAAUGGGAUAUCAGUCGGGAACUCUUUGAAAAAAUCAAAUUCAGGUGUCCAUUGCUUGAUUAUCAUAGGCCUAUUGGCUAUUGAGUGAGGUCCUUCACAUAGUAUCUCUUUGGCAUCAGAAAUUGUUUUGAAUUUCACUAUGUAAUAUCCUUCUUCAAUUUACCUAAUACGCUAGCAAUUCUGCUUAGAGAUCUCAUACCCCAGCAAGACAAUAGAAGUUUCCGAAACUUUACCCAUAAUGGAAUAUCAGUCGGGAACUCUUCUGAAAAAUCGAAGUCAGGUGUCCAUUGCUUGAGUAUCAUAGGCCUAUUGGCUAUUGAUUAAGGUCCUGCACGUAGUAUCUCUUUGGCAUCAGAAGUUGUUUUGAAUUUCACUAUGUAAUAUCCUUCUUCAUGGUAGAACAAUUUUGGCUCUAGGACAUGUGACCAGUGAUGAUUGAUGAAUCUCUUUAUUGCAUUGAAGCCAGGCCCGUCUCCUAGGAUGUAUACCACUGAGACACACUUCCAUUUUGCUUCUUCCUCUUCCACCUCCGAUUUAUUCAGCUGUACUAUAGGUUGUCCAUCAAUCAUCACAUGGGGUAUGUAGUAAAGAGCCAUUCCAUGGGUCGCAAAUCGAUUCUUCUGGAAUAGGGUUGUCCAGCUCUUCUUAGGCUCCACUAAGGUGCUUCUGCUAGUAUCUGGGUGUUCCUUUAUCACCGUUGCUGGCUGCAUGGUCAUCUCUUCCGAUGGAUCUGGAACUGCUGGAAUCGGAGGAGAUGUAGCCACUUUGACACCUACUGCAGUCGGAGUUUCCAUAGUCGUGUCAUCCAUACCUACUAUUGCAUCUUGCUGUACUGUCACUACAUUUGCAGCUUGCUCAUCUUCUUCCAUGGUGUCUAGGUUUUGUACAUAGGGGUUCUGCACAUCGUUAGUAUCCUUCUUCUCCAAAAUCAGUUGGUUUAGCUUUUCAAAGGUUUUUAUCGGUAUCUUCCGAGGUCGACCUCUGCCACGGCUGCCGCCUUUCGCCAUAUCUACGAGCUCGGCGUAUGUUAUGCUAACGUGCGCCGAGAGGAAAGGAGAGAGACGGGGAAAUAGGCCAACUUGUAGAUCCUAUUUGAAAGGAAAUUUGACUAAAGGUUAUUUUCCUUCAAAAGGAAAUAAAGCUAGUGAUAAGCUAGAAUAAAUUCCUUCUGAUUUGUAUGGUUAAAUAAACAUACUGAUGAGAGAUAGUUUUGAGUAUUUUUGUGACUUUCAUAAAUGAUCACUCAAAAUAUUAAUAUAUUUAUUCAAUGCACAGUAAAUCUUAAUGAAUUAACUAAAUCAAGAUUUUAAGACUUGAAACGGAGAAGCACGAAGGAAAUAUAUUAAGUUACUACAAUUUAAUUGUACUAGCGAGACCUCUCUAAAGAGUUCUUUUGUCACUUAUCAUAAUAAGAGAUUAUAUCUCAAUUGACUACACCGUAAAUUCCAUAAUAAAGUGGUGUAAUAGAAAGAAGAAAUAAGUCUCUUUUGGACAUGGAUAGACUAAUGACGUAUUAUUCAGAUUCCCUUAUUUGUUUUUGAAAUAUUUCCUAGAAACUGCAAAUUACAUUCUGAAUUUAGUUCCUUCUAAGUUAGUACCUAAGACAUCUAUAGAACAAUGGACUCAAUGUAAGCUCAGUCCGUGACCUUUUCUGGUGUAGACUUGUUCUGCAUAUGUGCUGAAUGAGAAAGCGGAUAUGUAAGUUGGAACUAAGAAUAGAUAAAUGCAUAUUUAUUAAAUAUCCAAGAAACGAAUGGAGUUUCAUUUCAUUGUCCUAAAGAAAAUAAGGCAAAUUGACGUUCAGAUGCAUCGGAACCCACAAGUCGGAAUUGACGUUCCAUUGUAAUUUGAGCAGUGGGAAAAUGUUAAUAGACAUAAUAUGCCUUUAUGGAGUGGGAGUGAUGUUUGAACAGUGAAAAUUAUAGUAAAAAGUCACUAAUAUUUCAAUGUCGUAAAGUAAUGAAGGUAAUAUUAGUAGUACUUCAUCGUACUAGGAGAAUGCUAAAGAAAAUCAUAGUUCGGUAUACACUCUUGGGAAAGUUUCAGUAACAAGAUCCCUUAAGAGUGCAAUACCAAACUAGAUGGUUACGACAAAGCACUAUUGGACAAAUAUUGCAUCAGAAAUAACUUAGUAAGAUUUUUUAACAAAAUCUUAUUUGGUGAAGAUAUUUAAUAAUCAUGUAAAAAAAUGCAUGAGAAAGUUAUAGGUGCAUGAUUAUGAGUCUAAGUGGGAGAUUGUUGGGGAAUAUAUUAUUAACCAUGCAUUUAGAUAUAGUAUAUUCUGACAAUUGUCAUGGUUAAAAAUUUAAGUGGGAUAUUGUUGGGAUAUAUACUAUUAACCAUAGAUUUGGUUUACUUAUAAUAUUUAUUAUGAUAAUAUUAUUCAUUAAAUUGAAGUUUUAACAAAACAUAUAUUGAUUGGUUUCCUUUUCUUAUAUAGUAGAUAAUUUAGAGUAUCGAGUUUAGCUUAUACACGUAAUAUUAAACCAUCGUUUCUAAUAAGUAUAAAUUUUGAAUUCACAAUCUAAUGAUGGAAUUGGACAAACCAUCAGGAAAGAUUGUAGCACAAGAUUAAAUAUAAUUUAUCUUGAUUAUUGAAAUGGUUUAACUUCAACUUCUUGUGCUAGUACAUUUUGUAUGUAUUGAAUGGACCAAGUAGAGAUUAGUAUUUUAUACUGACUUAACAAAAUAAAUUCUCUAGCCAUUAGAUGUACUUAUACUCUUAAUCUUGAUAUAAUUAUUAUUAGCUAUGUAUAUUAUUAUUAGUUUAAUUUAUUAAAAGGCGAGGCUUUUUCGUGGGUCAAUAUGCCUGGUAUUGGAUAAUAAUAAUAAUGUACAUUGGCGAAGUAAUAGUUAGGUGAUAGAAUCCAUGUCUCAGUUUAGAGAUUGGUGAUACACCUUUAUGAAAGCUUAUAAGUUUUCAUGUGUAAACCUAGCCAGUGAAUUUUGUAUCCGACACGUAAAAUAAGUUAAACGAAAGUCUAAAGGAAAGAAUCAACAAAUUAAAUCGUUAGUAAUUUAAUUUAAUUGAUUAAUAUCUGAAUCUUAACAUGGAGAGUUAAUUAAGAUUUAAUGGAUGAAUUUCGAAAUUGAAUAAGGAGUGCAAUUACGAAUUUUUAGUGAAAUAAUUCGUAAUUAAUUAUGGUAGAUAUUAAUUUCGAAAAUUAAAAAUUAAUUCCAUAAUUGGAGCCUUGUUAAUUAAUUAUGUGGUCUCUGUUGUGCUUAAAUAAUAGGAAUAGAGGAAUCUUUAUUCGGGUGGAAAGGAAAACUUAAUAGGUUUUGGAAAAGGGUUUUAACCCAUAAAACUUGUGCUAUGAAUACAUAAGGUUUUCCACCUAGAGGAGGUUGACAUAGUGGCCGAAAUUUUCAGCCCUUUCCUUAGAAAAUUUCGCCCACAUGAAAUUACUAUUUCAGGGUAUUAUUUGGGUAACACAGUAGAAGACCGUGGAACGUUCGAGUAUCACGAUUGCACGGGUGAUAGUGAUUCCAUUGAAAAGUUAUGGAAUUGAAGGCUCACGUGAUAAACGAGUUUUUUUUACGCUUCAAGAUGUAACCCAUGAAAUCCCGUUUAUACUAAUUAUCUAAAUUAAUAUGUGAUAUUGAUACUGGAAUUGCUUGCAAUGCAUAUAAUAAUCCAUCACUUUUAACUACCAAGCUAAGUUGAUUUAUAACAAUAACUAAUUAACCGUCUGCAGCAAGUUUACAUGGCAAUCUAUCAAAUAUAUUACAGCAAAUUACCGUGGAAUCAGAAACACAGUCAAGGAAAUAGUCUCCCCAAAUGCUUCGAUGGUAAUUUGCAGAGGCAGAGGGACGAGAGACUUCUUGAACUCCAACCGGCAAGCCUUUGCUGAAGUCCGUCGUCUUUUUGGAUGAAAGGAUUCAAGGACAAAUAUCUACUCAAAAACUGAUAGAACACUUCUACAUUUGCUUCUGAUAAUGUAGUUAUUUGUAGUGGAGGAUUUGCUUUCUUGCAUGGGGCAAUUCAAUUAAAUUCUCCCACGUUUUUCAGCUUCUUAAUUGAUAUUGUAAGGGUUUUGACAAUAUCAAUGAAUUUUAAUUGAUGAUAGCAUAUUAGUUACUCCGUCUCAAAUUAUCCGUCGUAUUUCUAUUUUACACGUCUCUUAAGAAAAUAUUAAAGAAGAAUAAUUUUUGAUUGUUUUACCCUUAUUUAUGCUUUAAGAUGUAAUCUCUCUUUAUUUAAUAUUUAUUCAAAACUUUUGUAUUUGUGUUCUUCAAGAACCAUUAAUAUUAGGGUUAAUUUCACUAAUGGUCACUCAACUAUGUUUCAAUUCCACUAAAGUCACUCAACUAUUGUUUGUCAUUUCAAAGUAACUAAACUUUCAUAUUGUCACUUAAAACUCAUUUUGGCUCAAACCCCUACCAUAAAUAUGACAUGGCAUAGAAUUUAAUGAGAAAAAAUCAAAAAAGAAAUACCACAUAAGCUUAAAUGGACUAUACCCACUUUAGAUCCAUUUCUCCUUCAAUGUGAUUUGACCUAUAACCCAAAUGGACUUGGGUUAUAAAUUGUGGUUGGAGAAAUGGGCAACAUGGCGUGAUUUUUGGCCACCGUGAUUUAGGCGAACCUACGGGUUUGCCUAAGGCCAACCACAUUCAUGGUGGCCAAAAAUCUCCUGAGCCUUCCGUUGCGUUCACGGUCUUCCCGCCACAUUCGCGAAGGGCAAACUGCUCAGCUCCUACUCCUCGCAUUUAUGACUCCUCUAUCGUGUUCGCAUAAAAAAAUUCCCCUGCCACUCAGUUCCUUCUCUGUGGUCGCAACUCCCCUUUUGCAAGCACAAAAUAGUAGCCCACAAUUCCUUCAUCGUGAACGCGUACCUCUUACCCCUUUCGCUAAGCACAACACUAGCACCAACUAAACAAACCAACUUGGUUUGAAACCAUACCCUAGUCCCCCCGGAACCCAUCCAAUCAUACAAAAUAGUCCCAAUAUCUUAUCCAAACUUAUCCAAAGUUUCAAAAUGCCACAAUUAACAUCAAAACCAUGAAUAAUCUAUCAAAAAUCUUUCUUUUAACUUUAUGUAAUGACCUAGCCGUUCCUUUUGUGUAUUGUAGCCCCUUCCCCUAUUUGUCACUUCCUCUAUGUUAAUCUAUGGUUGGUGACUUGCCGGGGAGUUGGUUCAGUUUAGGGAUGCUUCGGAGAGAAAUAUGACACCUAGUCCCAAGGUUAAAGGCUUAAGUUGAAAGAGUAGAUCGGAAUUUGACUUUUGUAUAGACGACUCUGAAAUAGAAUUCUAAUGUUUCGAUAGUUGCGAAAGGUGUUUUUGGAAUUAGGCAUAUGUACGCAUAUUUAUGUUGAGGUUCGUAGGUUAUUUUGGCUUGAAUUGGAAAAGCAGAAAAGUUAAAAGUACAGAAGAUUGAGAGGUUUGACCGAGAGUUGACUUUGCUGAUAUCGUAUUUGCAAUUUGAUUCCAUGAGUAGGAAUAGGUUCGUUGUGUCAUUUGGGACUAGUAUGUCAAAAUUUUAGAUCAUUCGGAAUUGAUUUGAUAUGGUUCGACAUUGGUUUUAGAGGUUGAAAUAUCAAUUGUUCAUUAGAAUGAAGUUGGGGUGCGAUUCAUAAUUUUGAUAAUCUUUUUAAUGUGAUUUGAGGCUUCUCGUUCCUAUUGUAUUUUAGACCUUACUGAUAUGUGUCGAUGGGAUCCCAAUAGCCUCGGGUGUGGCCCGGAUGGUUGGCGGAGCAUGUUUUGACUUUGAAGAAAGCUGAAGCUUUACGUACUAGUGUGAUCGCUUCUGCGAGAUUAUAGCCGCAGGUGUGAAACUGUAGAAGCGACAGAUGUCACAAAUAUGGUAAUGGUCACUGAUGCGGAACUUGUGCAUCACCUCCUCCUCCUUAUUCUUUUUCAUCCUUUUUACAUGUGCUGUGGAAAAUUAAAGAUCCAUUUAUUUGUAGAUGGUUUGGUUGGAAAACAUGAAGAACCACCAUUAUUGAGUUUUGCUGAGCUUGUUUGUUGAAGAAGGAUUGGUUUGAAUCUAACCAUUAAAAAUUAUUGAAUUGAUAUUAGAAUGUUGAAUAUUAAAUUUGAAGUCACCUGGAGUUAAUUUAGACCAAUUUGAAUUAAUUUUAGUCCAUCAAUUUACAUUCUAUGGCAGAUGUAUCUCAAAUUACCAUGGAAUCAGAAACACAGUCAAGGAAAUAGUCUUCCCAAAUGCUUCGAUGGUAAUUUGCAGAGCGACAAGAUACUUCAUAACUCCCGCCGGCAAACAAACGGUAGACCCAGAAUUUUGUACAAACGGAUUCAGUUAAAGACCAUGGUAGCCAUUUAUAUAAACAGCACUGGUAAAUAAAAUUUGCUCACUACUCAAUUUUGUUAAUCAUAUGGCCUCGAAAUAAAGUCAUUGACGCUCAUUUUUUAAUCAAAGGUGAGAAUUUUUUUUAAAGAAAAACUAUUUAUUUUAAUUUUUGGAAUUUUAUGUAUAUAUAUAAACAAAUUUCACUUCAACAAAUUUAUAAUUUAUUGAUUAAAAAAAAGUAACCAACUUAAAAAUCUUAUUACUCUAAAAAAUUUAACAUAAUAAGUAUUUAAAAAAAAAGUGAAAAAGGGAGUUGUAAACUAAACUAAUUGAUAUAAACUUUUAAAGUAAAAGAAUAAACACCAAAUUAAGAUUUUCAGUAUAACACACAUUAACGAUUCUAACAUAUAUGAACUAAACUACAUUAAAUUAAAAAAUUACAAAUAAUCUCAACAAAACAUUCUCAUGUUUUAGCAGAAACUAGGAAAGAGAGAACCAUAAUUCACUUAGCGGAAAGGUUUUUUUUUGUUUUUUUGAAGUAAAUAGAAUUUACUAAGAAUAACUAUUGUAAAUAUAAGCAAAGAAAAGAAAUCAAAAAGAGAAAUAAAUAUAGGUGAUGGAAAAAAGGGUAACAGGUACAAUAGUUAUAUAACUGGAAAUAAAUAUGCAAUGUGGAAAAUAAUUGUGAAUCCUCUUUGUCACUGCUCUACAACUUUCACAUAUAUUAAGUGGGUUUAUAUUUAUAAUAUUAUUUUUUUAUGAUUUUCUGAUGAAGUUAACAGUUGAAAUUAAUCAAUUUUUUCGACGAAGCAUAUUCAACUGACCCCCUGCCGGCAAGCCUUUGCUGAAAUCCAUCGCCUUUUUGGAUGGAAGGAGGAGACACGAUACAAGGAUAACUAUCUACUUGAAAACUAAUAAAACACUUCGACAUGCUAGUUAACUUACCAAGAUUCCUAGUUAAUUUUGCUUUAGUUAGGAAAAUGACCUUAGCUAAGUAUCAUAGCUCUUAGCUAAAUUUUAGCUAAAAAAUAUGUUAUUCAUUGCUAAUAUAACUAGGGAUAUUUAUUUGGCACAUUAGCUAGGAUAUAUGAUAGUUAAAUUCUACGCAAACAUCGAUUCGUCAUUGUUGACUUUGUUGAAACGUAGCUAAGCUAUUAGCCAGAGAGAAUUUGUUUUCUUGCAUGGGGCCAAUUCAAUUAAAUUCUCCCAUGUUUUUCAGCUUCUUAAUAGAUAUUGUAAGGGUUUCUUUACCAAAGAUGUUAUAAAUUGGAAAAAUUAGCUUAGUAAAGACCUUGUUAAGGCCCAGGAAAACUUUACCAAAGAUGUUAUAAAUUGAAAAAAUUCAACCUUUGGUGAUAUUUUCAAGAAAAAGAGACAAUUACUAGCUAGACUUAAUGGAAUUCAAACAUCUCCCCAUUACGACAGUAGUGACUUCCUUCAAAAUCUUGAAACAACUCUUCAAUUAGAAUAUAAUAACAUCUUACUUAUGGAGCAUGACUUUUGGAAGUUGAGAGCUAAGAGUAAUUGGAUAAGUGAUGGUGAUGCCAACACUAUAUUUUUUUAUAUUAUGGCCUCUAACUGUAAACGUCGUAAUGCCAUUACGUAUUUCACUAAUGAAAAAGGAGAUUGGAUAUCUGAUCCAAACAAAAUCCUAGAUCACUCCUAAGUCGGGUCCUGAAAAGGUAUUAAUGCUUCAAUUAUGUCCAAACUUGGCUUGAUAUUUAAUAGUCCGAUGAGGCUUCCCACAACUUUUACCAUUGUUUCUCUACUGCCAUUUCCUAGAUCAUUCCACCACAUAUGGAGCUUCAGGGGGAUCUCAUUAAGGACUGUAAAGGGUUCAAUUUUAUUCGUGCUCAUCGUGCACAUUUAUUAAGGUAAUUCAAUAACCAAUUUUGUCCUAAAAGGGGAAAUAACAAUAUAUUUUAUUUUUUCCAAAAUGUUUCAUUAUAAAACAAAACCCUAACUUCGCAGAUAUGGCCUUUUAGCACUCCGGGGAAGAAGAUUUAAGGUUGUGCCUGCUAACCGUUAAAAAAUGUUGCAACGUAGUUGUUCUUGCCAAACAUCCUUCCGGCGUCCCUUUGGGGAACAUUCGGCUUAUAUUAAACAAGAAUGGCAUCACCAGACUUAUUUGCGACAAAAAUUAAAUUUUUUGUGGUUUUUGGCUAUUUUUGCAAAAAGGAAUCGGGGUUGCCUACGUAUCCCAUAUCCGGUGAGAAUCAAACUGGCGUAGUUCGGGCCAAUUUGACAAAACCAACUAUUUUUGAAAACAAAAACUUUUCCUUUUUUUUCAUUUUCCCCUCUUAUUUUUUCUUUUUUUCAAAAAUUUCGGCAGAUUUUCAGUAUGAUUUGGGUAUUGGUUUUUCUUGAAAAAGGUGAUCACCCUCAUUGUGAUAUUCUCUUUUCAACUCUCUCCCAUUAUUUACAAGCCGGUCAACAUGCAUAUCCGAAGUAAAUAAAUGCACAAAUAGCAAGUAAGAUGCAUCAGGAUGGUGUCUUCAUUUCAGGUCACCUGUCCUAGACGAACCGAACUCCUGUGUUGAGUCCCCUAAGUCAAAUGCACGUGAUGCAUACAAACGUACCUACUAGGGAUCUAGCAUGAGGCUUUGUUAUACUAGGUUUACUGUUCUAGACUUGGCUGACCCGAAGGGACAACUCGAGCCGGGAAGGAGGGGGGCAGAGUACUGGGAAUACAAAAGCUUCGCCGGCUUAGCAACUUGUCCGAACCUCGUUCUAAAAUGGGAUUAGACUCUAAACAGAAGAGAAGUCACAUGAAGUGUACCCUUCUCCAUGAUGUAGAAGACAUAGAGAGAGAGGAAGGGUUUCGUAGCAGUUUAUAUAUACAAUUCACCAAAUAUCAAAGCGGUAAAACAUUUAGCACAUUUAGCAUGAAACGUGUAGGAAAAUCACAUAAUAAAUAAGCCAAUCAUAAAAGCUAUUCGAAGCUCGAAUUCAAAGACCCUAAACCGAAGUUCUGGGAUUUUAUGCCCAGCAGAGUCGCCAGAGCUGUCACAUCUCCUUGUUUUACACACCACCCCGAAAGGUAGUGUAAGAGAGUUUUUCCAAUUUAAGUGACAUUUUUCGAAAUGGGAUUAUUUAUUUAAUUUUUUUUCAAAGUCUCAACUUGGGAUAGGUUUAUUUUCUGGUGUCCCAAGUCAAUGGUUUAUUUUAAAUCCCAAAUCGAGGAAAUUUUGAUGUUCCUUUUGAAGUCUGCGAAUAGAAAUUCUGAAUAAGGAGUUCUGUUAACCCGGGAGAAGGUGUUAGACAUUCCCGGAUUUCGUGGUUCUAGCACGACUGCUUAAACUAUUAUAAUUGGCAAUUAUCUGAUUUUAAUACAAGUUCAAACCUAUAGUGCAAUUUUAUGUUAUUUACCGCUUUUAAUAAAUUUUAAGGAAGAUUGAACGUCGUUUAAAACGUGUCUUUUGAUUGCGUCACAUGAAAUGCACCCACAAUCCGACAUACAUUUUAUUCAACAUUUUAUGAUUUGGAUUUGGGUCACAUGAAAUGCACAGCCAAGUUUAAGAAUGUAAGAUUAUUAAAAAAUGCGCCUAAAGCGACUAAUGCGUUGUUAACCUUGCGGGAGACCAAGAAAAUUUACUAAAUGGCACGUCCAGAAUUCUAAAUAUUUUAAGAAACUAAUUUAAACAAGGGCCAUGCAUUUGUGAUUUUAUUUGGCGCGUCGCACCUCAAUUUAUUUUUAAGGACAUUUGAACUAAAAUUCGACUAAUGAGCUAUUAUUAUCUAUUAUGGUUCUCCUCUGUUCUAAUUAAAGGACUUAAAUAAUUAACACUAGGAAAGAGCAUCAAGUUAUUCAUAAAAUUUUGUGCCUCAAGAUCAAGCACAAACUCAAACAAAGACGAUCUCCAUUAUUGAAGAAGCCCUUAAUUCGAGUCUGCCACUUAACUUGAAAGGACCAAUGCCUACAUUUCCAUUUUCAAAACCAUUAAAUCUAAAAAUGAUCCAGGACUUCCAACCUGUUGGGCUCGAGACCAGCCCAGUUCGAAAUGAUGGGAAAUUGGCGAUAACAUUUGAGCUUGUUUAUUAUGUAACUGGGCGAACGUUAGGCCCAGCCGUUAUGGUCCAAAUAGUCCGGUCAAAAGCGAAACAAAAUUAAUACUGAUACACGAACAUGAGAUCAAGACUUGGGUUUCUCAUUUAAGACCUUUGACAUGGAUUAACAUUGAUUCAACUCGUAGGCCAGCUCUUUUAAACUUCAUUUUUAAUAUGUAAAUAGUGGACAAACAACAGUGAUAUACAUGUUUGAAAAAAAUUACAUGAAUGAUUAGAUGUUUAUUUUUUGCAAAUCUCAAAGCUCUAAUCAAAUGACCUCAAGACUAAGCUAUGGAACUAGGCACUGAAUCGUGAACCAUUGCCAAUAUCUAUCAAAUCACAGAAUUAGAGCUAAUAUAAACACAAAUAGUAAUCAUGCAUUCACUUCCAGGUUCACACAAUAUUCUAAACGUAAAAUUCCAAACUCAUUUCUACAUUUGAGCUAACAGGAUUUGCAAAAAGCUAAUCUACACUACUAGAGCUAAAAUAAACGAAUAAGGUAUAAUAUAGUUCAACUGUCCUUAGCUAAUUACAAUGUGAAGAUUUAGCUAAUCAAUGAAAACUAAUUGAACUACACUGAACCAAAAAAAAUGUACGCAAAAUAAAAACAAAUCACCAUGACCAUUAUUUCAUCCUAAAUUGAGAGCUACAUCAUGGGAGAGCUAAGAUUAAUACCUGGAUGUAGAAGAAACAAAGUAAAAGAGCAAGAGGAUGGCUUAAGCAGUAGCAGAAUCAGCCCUAACAAAAUUAUACAAAUCCAAUCCAAACUCAAGAAGAAGAUGCAUCAAUCUAAAGAAUAAAGUUCAUCGAAUAAACCCAUCAGCAAAAUUUUCAAAACUAGUUUUAUACACCCCAAAUCAAACACAUUCUAAACCCUCAAGUUAAUUAGACAGUGUUUUAGCUUGAAAGCUUUAGAAUUCAAGGAAAAGAAAAGGAAUUUAAUGGAAUAGUGAAAUUACAACCAUUCCUUAUUUUUUGUAUUUUAAAGCUCUUCAAAAUAUGAUCUCUAAAACCUUUUCUUACAAGGCAAGAGUGGUAUGCCUUCAUAGGCAAACAGUUAGGGCGAAUUUCAGAAUUUAUUUUGCAUUGUUAGUCCUUUUUAAUUUCUAUUUUUUCUUAAGAAAUCCCCGAAUUACUGACUUGUGGCUCAAGUUAGUACCCUAUGCAGCUUCUAGGAAGUUUCCUAAGCUGUUACACUUAAGAUUCCUCUGUUGAAUUACCCUCAUUACUAUUUAAACUUUUGAAAAUUACUUUGAUGGACCAGCCUGGGUCCAAUUGACUCGAGGCCCAUCAAACCUGGGCUUUCACACUAUUGGGCUGAUACUUUUUUUCCUAAAUGGGUCAUAAGGAUUUAAAAACUCACACAAACUAUCAGCCCUAUUAAGAUUCUGAGCUAAUUAACCGGAAUGCAAUUAUUUUAGCAGUUUGAAUCAUAGACUAUUUAACCUUAUUAAUUCGACCUAAAAUAGCAGACCAAAUCAAUGGAUUAGGGUUACCGAUUGAGGAAACUAUAUGAAGCUAAUCAUGCAUGAAUGAGAUAAUUGUAAAAGAACUAAAACAAAAUUAAGCAAUGAGCAAAACAAUCAUGAAGUUAAAGUAAACUUAUGAAUUAAAUGAAAAUCAAAACAAAACAAAACUAAAGGGAUGUUAAAUUAUUGCUAACCUGGGCAUGCUGAAGUAAAAAAAAAGGUAGGAAAAGAAGUGAAGAAAGGAAUUUUGAGCACACAUGUCUGAGAUAAGCAAAUAAGAACGCAGAAUGGUCCCCUUGAAUUAGCCUUGCUAUAGGUCUAAUUAGACCAUAAUCGUGUGUUCUCGAUGAAAACACGUGACUAAAGUCCAAAUCGAACCCAAACUUCAUCCAACUGAUCGUUUGGAGGGGAAGCUGUGGUGUUAUUUUGGUGGUCAUCGGAGACCCCGUCGCCGCUGUGGAUGAUUUGUCAGUAGGCGGUAGACGGCGAUGGGCGGCGGAGUUAGGGCUGGUCUCUAUGAUUUGGCUAGGUGUGAGAGAGGACAAGGGGGGGGGGAGGAGGUGACAUUUGGACACACACACACACACACACACACACACACACACACACANNNNNNNNNNNNNNNNNNNNNNNNNNNNNNNNNNNNNNNNNNNNNNNNNNNNNNNNNNNNNNNNNNNNNNNNNNNNNNNNNNNNNNNNNNNNNNNNNNNNNNNNNNNNNNNNNNNNNNNNNNNNNNNNNNNNNNNNNNNNNNNNNNNNNNNNNNNNNNNNNNNNNNNNNNNNNNNNNNNNNNNNNNNNNNNNNNNNNNNNNNNNNNNNNNNNNNNNNNNNNNNNNNNNNNNNNNNNNNNNNNNNNNNNNNNNNNNNNNNNNNNNNNNNNNNNNNNNNNNNNNNNNNNNNNNNNNNNNNNNNNNNNNNNNNNNNNNNNNNNNNNNNNNNNNNNNNNNNNNNNNNNNNNNNNNNNNNNNNNNNNNNNNNNNNNNNNNNNNNNNNNNNNNNNNNNNNNNNNNNNNNNNNNNNNNNNNNNNNNNNNNNNNNNNNNNNNNNNNNNNNNNNNNNNNNNNNNNNNNNNNNNNNNNNNNNNNNNNNNNNNNNNNNNNNNNNNNNNNNNNNNNNNNNNNNNNNNNNNNNNNNNNNNNNNNNNNNNNNNNNNNNNNNNNNNNNNNNNNNNNNNNNNNNNNNNNNNNNNNNNNNNNUAUAUAUAUAUAUAUAUAUAUAUAUAUAUAUAUGAAAACCCUAGCUUAUGAGCCGUUAGGACUUCAAACCUCGACGGCUCAGAUCUAUUUCCUACUAACAACGUUGUUUGGGUUGUCUUAGAUGGGGGACCGGGUUAGGGGACUGGUUUGGGCCGAUUCAGGGGGUUUUUGGACGGGUUUUAUUUUGGGCCUGGGUUUUUUGCUUGGGUCAGCCCAAAUUGGGCAUUAUUUAAAGGACUCAUUUUUUCUUUUCUUUUUAUAAAAUUUCUUAUCUUUUCAAAAAUUAAAACAAACUAAAAUUAAGACUAAAAAUAAAAUUAACCUACUUAAUUAUAUUAAGCCCUAAGUAAUAAUUAACUCAAAUAAAUUAAUACCAAUUUGAAAGAAAACUAAAUAGAAUUUGAAGCUAAAAUUAAACAAAGCAAAUAAAUCAAUUUUUUUCACUUUUUGUAUAUUUUUUGUAAAAUCCUAAUUUGCUAAUUGAUCUAAAAAUAUGUAAUAUCAAAUCCUAUAUGCAAAUGCAAUAUUUUGUAUUUUUUUAUGAAUUAUCUAAAUUAAAAAUCCAUACAAAAAUGCAAACAAACACGAAAUUAUACAAUUAAUUCUUGAAAAACCAAAUAAUUAAAAGAAAAAUCCUAAAUCUAUGAAUGUUUGUAGGAGUAAUUCACGCGAGGUAAAAAUCAUGUUCUCAUAGAUCGGAUGACAAAGGUUUUCAUUCCCGCUACCCAAGAACUAUCAACCCUUUGCAAACCCUUCAAGUCGGCUCCCAUUCUUUGAUUACCCUCUUUGGAACAUAAAAUUGUUAUUAAAAAAAUAACAUGAAAAAAAGAGGAAAAAAAAAGAACAAAGAAGAAAAAGAAAAAAUAUUUAAAAAAAAUGAAAAAGAAAAUGAAAAAAAGAAGAGAAAAUAUGAAAAAGAGAAAAAGAGAAAGGAAAAAGGAAAUAAAAGGGAAAGGAGAAAGAAAACAACACAAAAUAAAAGAAAAUCAAAAACACAGUUUUCCCUGAAUUACGUUCAACUUGAUUCUGAAAGGAUACGUAGGCAGCCUCUCUCUGGUGUUCAGUCACACCAAAAUAAAAAUCCAAGGUCCCCCCCGAAAGUGAAACUGGGGCAAAAGUUAUAAUGGUUCGGCGACGGUUCGCCAGAAAGGUUCCUAAGUUGUAAUAUCAUCCCAUCUCUUUCUACCCGAAAUCCUGUGUAAGUUCUUCCGAUCAAUCGAUGAGAAUGAUUCAAGGAUCAGAGAAUGCAUCUGCUUGGAUCCGAUGCAAUCAAAAUGAGAGAAAUAAAAUAAGAGAGUCUUAUUGGUGAAAACCCACACGAGCACCGUGAGGCAACGGUAAGCAGAGAAAUUGAAAUGAGAAAGUCUUGUUAGUGAAAACUCGCAAAGAGCACUAUAAGGCGAUAGUGAGAAGAUAAACGAGAGAGGCCAGCUCGUGAAAACCCGAAAAGGGCAUCCAUGAUUGAAAAGAGGAUCCUCACAGCCACCAGCGCUGGCAAAGUCCUGGCAAGGUUUCUUGAAUUUUUGAGGCAAAAGUUGUGAUGAAUUUCUUAGAGUCGAACAGUUUACACAGAUCAGGCAUCCAGUCCAAAAUUUACAUGUCAUGUUCAUCGAAGUCCGCAUGUACUCCAGAUAAGUCCUUCUUUCCUUUCCCCGAAUGGGAAACUUCUUGUUUUUAAAGUCAUUCUCCAUUCCGUUGUUUAUUUUCUUUGAAUCCCUUUCGGUCUAACACUAUUCCGAAACUAAGACAAAGAAGGGAUGGCAAGACUGACUUAUAGGGCUUUUUUUGACAUAAGCUAUAAUGUGCAAAAGGCACCCAUUCUCGCGAGGGGCAUCAAGUCGACCUCGACUGGUCAUGGUGGCUGAUGUUUUGAAAUUGAAGAACUCCUGAAAAUGAAGGAAACUCAAAGUCAAAUGCCCACAAAAAAAAUGAAGUUAAAAAGUUUAAGUCCCACGUGGUGAAAUGUCUCGGCAAAGAUUUGAAAAGCCAAGGGAUCCCGCUGCUCUGAAAUCAAAGUUAUCGAAAAUGAAAAGAAAUCCAAUUUCAAAAGCCCGUAGAGGAUGAAUAAAGUGAAAGGGCCAAAGCCCCCUACAGGGGAGCCGUCAUGAGAAAAUCUGAAUAGCUGAGUUCCUCAAUUUUAAAAGAGAGAUCAAUCUUCAGACUAGCCAGCAAGAAGCGGAGGUUCUCACCAAAAAUUAGGCCACGAUCUAGUGAUCAAAAAAUCAAGGCCACAAAACCUAACAGCAUUUCAAGCUAACAAUUGUGCUUUGUUUGAACUUUUUGAAACACGUGUAAUCCAAAGCAAUCGUGCAAGAAGCAGGCGCAACCAAAAAGGGAAAUGUUCAAGAGCUAGGAAUAGCUUCGCUGUAAUAAUCAACCCCAAAGGGAAGUUUCUUCCAAAUUCUUUCCUGCAUUUUUACUGAAAAAGAAAAGAAAAAUCCUAAAAAUCGAGGUAGCAUAGGCCCUCCGAUCUCUAGCUACAUCCUUUCUAACGUAGGACCAUAUUCCCUAGUUGUCCCCAUCAUAACCUAUGGACCUCCCCGGCAUAAUCAGAGGAACUUUUUCCUUUACUCCCUGGCAUAACCCGAGGAUCGUUUUCCUUUUGACCCUGGCAUAACCCAAGGACCUUUUUUCUUUUAUCUCAGCAUAACUCAUGGACCUCCCUAGCAUAACCCAAGGACCUUUUUCCUUUUAAUCCUGGCAUAGCCCGUGGAUCUCCCUUGCAUAAUCCAAUGAGCUUUUUCUUUUAUCCCGGCAUAACCCAAGGAACUCUUUUCUUUUAUCCCGGCAUAACCCCUGGACCUCCCUGGCAUAACUCAGGGACCUUUUUACUUUUCUCCAGACAUAACCCAUGGACCUCCCUGGUAUAACCUAAGGACCCUUAUUUUUUAUCCUGGCAUAACCGUGGAUCUCCCUGCAUAAUCCAAGUACCUUUUUUUAUCAAGCAUAACUUGUGGAUCUCCUGGCAUAACCCAAGGACCUUUUCUCUUUUAUCCCGAUAUAACCCGUGGAUCUCCUUGGCAUAACCCAAGGACCCUUUUUCUAUUAUCCCGACAUAACCCAAGGACCCUUUUUCUUUUGUCCAGGCAUAAAUCGUGGACCUCUCUGGCAUAACCCAAGGACCUUUUUCUUUUAUCCCAUCAUAACCUGUGGAUCUUCCUGGUAUAACCCAAGGAACUUUUUCUUUUAUCCAACAUAACCCGUGAACCUCCCUGUCAUAACUCAACGACUUUUUUAUUAUAUCCUGGCAUAACCUGUGGACCUCCCUGGCAUAACCCAAACACCUUUUUUCUUUUCUCCUGUCAUAACCCGUGGACCUCCCUAGCAACCCAAGGAGUUUUUUUUUACUUUUCUCCUGGUAUAACCCAGGGACCUCCCUGGCAUAACCCAGGAAUAUUUUUUUUCUUUUAUCCUGGCAUAACCCGUGGACCUCCUUGGCACAAUUCUAGGGACUUUUUUCUUUUAUCCCGGCAUAACAUAUGGAACUUCUUGGCAUAACCCAAGGAUCUCUUUUCUUUUAUCCCGACAUAAUCCAUGUACCUCCCCAGUAUAACCCGAGGACCCCUUUUUUCUUUUCUGGCACAACCCGGCCAGCUUCCAGCAUAACAUGGCUAUCUUCCCAACUUAGAGCUUCACACCCUAUUCCCAAGGAUACACAGCUCCGAUUUUUUACACUUUCAAUACAGAAAUAACUUUGAUUUGUAUUUCAAAUAACUCGCAUAAUUUUCCUAGUGAAAACUGGGCAGAAAAAUGUUUGUUUGUUUAUUUUGGUGUCUGAGCAGGUUUGACGUCGAGGCACUGGAUUCGAGAUGACAAAAAAAUGAAUCUCAAUCCAAAAUAAAUAAAAGAAGAAAAUGAACAAAAAGAAGUGAACUCAAAGUGCUAAAGUGGAGAAGGAUAUGGACUACUCAUAAUUUGAUUGAAGUCACAAGCUUUACAUGUCCCGCCUUGUUCCAAAAGUUGAAGAAUAAACCAUCGAUUACAGCUAACGAGCAUCAAGAUUUAGACCGGAGUCUGCAGCAAGAACCAGCUAAGACUCAAGAUCAAGUUUCAAGAAAUUUAUAGAUAAGAAUCAUGUAACUCAUAGUGGAUAGGAUUACCUAGAUUAGCUCUUUUAUUUUCUAUUUUGGUGUAAUAAGGAGCUCAGCAAGCAGAAACACCUGCAAAACUGAAAUCACGGCUUCCUGGUAGUCCCAGCUACCAUAACUUCCAGAACUACACUGAUCUAAUUCCUUUAUAGCCAAGGAUCUGUACGCAACCUCUGAAACAAGGUUCGGUCAGACUUUUUUCAAAAAUACUUUUCAUGGAGUUUCAAACUGGCAAAAAUCCCUCAUCUUGCUCACUUUAUCUUUGCCCGAAAACUCUUCAUGUUACCGAGCAAAGAGGGGCAGCAGUAAGCAGGUGAUUUUUGACAUACAAGAAAUACUCCUAUAAAAUCUAUGAAAAUAAUUUUUUUUAUUAAUUAUUGGCCAUUUUAAAGAAAUUUGUAUAUUUUUAUUAAUUGUUUACAUUUUUUUGCUUGUUUAAUUUUUUUUAAAAAUAUCAUGCAUUGCAUUUAGGAUUUAUUUUUUACACUUUUAGAAUUAACCAGUAAUUACUUCUUUUAAUAAAAUUUGAAAAUCACAAAAAAAUAGCUCAUUUUCACAUUUUUAUCUUUAAUUUUUAGUUUAUUGAUUUUCCACUUGUAAUAUAGAUUUGGGUAAUGUAUAUAAUUUUAAUUAUCAGUUAAUUAUUCAAUUACACAUUUAUAGAUAAUUAAGGAUUUUUAAAUUAUUAAGUUUUUAAUUUUUUGAAUAAAAAGAAAGAAAAUAAAAUUUACAAAUAAAGGAAGAAUUAGAAAAAGGAUUACAUUUCUUGAAAUUGGGCCAUUCUUUAUUUCAAAUUUGGCCCAAGACCAAUUACCCAUAUUCCAGCUCAAUUAUUUUAGCCCAAUACCCAUUCUCUACCAUUAAAAUAACCCUAGCUUUAUUUAACCUAGCUAAGACCUAAGGACCAGGAGGAGAUUUCCAGUUAUUAUUGGGAGACCCCUUAGUGGCAUUCUCUGGAAAAGAGCAGGAGAUUAAGAAAAUUCGACCCUCCCGAAAAUAGAGAAACGUCGCUCGCUCUUGGUCCUCAACGGAACAGACCUUUCUUCUUGAGGGAUUUCUUCUUCUUCUUCACUCCUCACCACACACUCCUCUCUUUCACUCUCUCCUAUUAGCAUAUAGAAGCAUCUGGAAUUUCGGAAUGAAAAUCUCGGAUCUGCAAAUUCUGAAGAUGAAAAAGAGAUGCAAAGUUAUUAUUAAUUUUUAACUUUUGUUUCAAGCUUUCUGGAUUUAACAAAAAGAAACUGUCGGUGCAUGAAAAAAUUGUUGUCUCUGCUGGUUCACUGUGGCUGAGUUUGGUUCUUUGGAUUCCAGGCCUUUAUUUGAUUAUUUUUCUCCUAUUUUAUGAUUUAGGUAUGUAAAUAUCAACUAAUCUGUAUUUACUUGAAUAAAAAAAUAAAAUUUGGUUAGUUUGUUUUGAGUUUAACCCCCCAGCUGGGCCCAGGGCGCUCUCCCUGGCAUUGGUGUUUUGGAAUUCACUUGUUUUGGCGCCCCAGGUAAAGCUGGGCACUGGCAUGGGCGCUAUGCACGUU
rnacentral:lncRNA from 1 species